UGGUUGGAAUCAGAAGAUACUCGACCGAAGUGUUUGAAGGCCAUUGGAUCUUCGCUGUGCUCGGCUUCGUUUUUGUUGCCUUUUCAAUCAUUUUCGGGAUUGUACCUGCAAAGGGGUUCAAAGGGCUUCUCAUAAGAUUGAAUAUAAACUAAAAUAUUGCUCGUGCUCGUCUAUUCUGGGGUAUAUUCGGAAGUUUUGAGGUGAAAGAAUUAGAAAUGGUGGCGCUAAACCCCAGUUGUUUUUAGCUUGUCUAGUUGGACCUUUUUGUGUUUGGAUUAGGUUUUUUUCAGCCCGUUUUAACGGACGUGGUUUAGGCAAAAACGUGGCAGUAUAAUGGAUGCCAUUUGGACUCUUGCUGCAAAUGUUCUUGCAGCUUGUGUAAUGGCUGCACUCGCCACAUUCAAGAAAGCGGUAAUAACUACGGAAAAUAUUAUUAAUCCCUCCAAAAUAACAUGGUUUUAUUUUAUACUACAUAAAUCACACCGAGUCCCCUUUCCAUUUUGUCUUUGCAGGUUAGAACGACGAAUUUGGGCUACUCGGGUGUUUAAGUACCGUCUCUACUUUCGUCGCUGAGUUACAUGCAAAAUACGAGAGCAAGCAUCCAUGGAGGGAUUGUGCUUAUGCAGCAACCACGUUUUCUAUCUCGUUUAUUUUGGGAACGCUUAUAGUGCCCGUUUGGGUAAAGGGACUAUGACUAGAAAUUGACGACGUGGGAUUCGGUAAUUUGCUUCUCUUCUGAGUUGCGCUGAAAUGAUAUACGAUUCGAAAAAUAGAAUCUUGACAAAGUCCCAAGAUUUUUCCGGACGUUGAUAAAUACAUCUUGUUGGAAAAAACGACAUUGCCGUUGGGAUCAUUAAAAGAGGAAUAAACACAAUCUCAAGCUCCGGUUGUGGCUCCAAAAAAGAACUGGCAAAACAUCCUCGUACAGUACACAUCCUCGUACAUUUUUAUCAUAAAUUCUAUGUACUUGGUUAGAGUUGAUGAUGUUGUAUUGUUUUUGUGCUAAAACAUCAAUUGAAAUUGAUGAAAAAAUUGUUAUAUAAAGUGUUUUUUUUUUU